CGAGAAAACUUUGCAAUGUGCGCAAGCACGACAAGGUUAAUCCGAGUGUUUCCUGCUAAAGGAAUCUUUUGUUAGUCCUAAAAACACUAGCGAAUAAGGGGUGGGCAAGUUCUGGUGUCAGCCGCCGCGGUAAAACCAGCACCUCAAGUGGUCAGGAGGAUUAUUGGGCCUAAAGCAUCCGUAGCCUGCUCUGUUAAUUUCGGUAAAUCUGUACGCUCAACGUACAGGCUGCCGGGAAUACUGCAGAGCUAGGGAGUGGGAGAGGUAGACGGUACUCGGUAGGAAGGGGUAAAAUCCUUUGAUCUAUUGAUGACCACCUGUGGCGAAGGCGGUCUACCAGAACACGUCCGACGGUGAGGGAUGAAAGCUGGGGGAGCAAACCGGAUUAGAUACCCGGGUAGUCCCAGCUGUAAACCAUGCAAACUCAGUGAUGCAUUGGCUUGUGGCCAAUGCAGUGCUGCAGGG
rnacentral:rRNA from 2 species